rnacentral:ncRNA from 3 species
GGAGCAGCUUCUGGAGAGAUCGCGAUAGUUUCGCGACGCCGAAGGGUUCACAAUCUCAGGCAAAAGGACAGAAGAGUACCG